rnacentral:rRNA from 1 species
CAGCCGUAAACAAUGUGCGUUAGGUGUGUCGGUAACCACGCGUUACUGAUGCGCCGAAGAGAAAUCGUGAAACGCACCACCUGGGAAGUACGGUCGCAAGGCUGAAACUUAGAGGAAUUGGCGGGGGAGCACCACAACGGGUGGAGCCUGCGGUUUAAUUGGACUCAACGCCGGAAAUCUCACCGGAUAGGACAGACAUAUGAUAGUCGGGCUGAAGACUCUACUUGAUGAUCUGAGAGGAGGUGCAUGGCGUCAGUGACU